GUGGAAGUGAAGCUGAAAGUGUGAAUGAAGCGGGCGGCGGGACCCAGCGGGACCCCCGGGCGGGAGGUGGCGGUAGUUCACUGAAGUGCAGAGGGCAACAGUGUUGAUCAGGUUUACAGAAAAGCAGCAAGCACUUGUGAAACUAGAAGACAUAUGACCAACUCACAAAAAUCUUUUUUGAUUACUUAAAAAAAUCAGGGAAUACUUAUAGCACUGGAACACUACUGGUAUUUACAUUUUUAAAUGCUGGCUACUGCUGGACAAACUCUUCUUUGUUCUAACUAUGAAUGAAAAUACAGAAUCAGCUCUUGACCCCAACAAAGAUGACCUUCCUCUCAUGGCCAAUACUAGUUACAUGCUCAUCAGACAUUACGUGUUAGAUCUAGCAGUUAAUUUCGACAGGGAAGUCAUCAACGGUACCAUUGUCCUCUUCCUAGAAACCAACAAAGUGUACAAAAGAGCAUCCAACUCCGUGGGAGCAGGUCAGCACCCUUCCGUAGAAGGAUUAUUUGAAACUGAGCAACCAGGACAUUCAUGCAGUCUCACUUAUGCAUGUGAAGAUAAGAUGAGCAAUCUAGCUAACCGCUGUGAUGGCAGAGUUACCAAUGUUAAUAGUUGUAACCAUAGCAACAAUGAGUGGGCUAGUGGGAUUUCUGGUACAAGGGAGCACUGUGAUGAUGGGAAGGACUUUGUGCUGGUGCUGGAUUGUUGUGAUCUUGUGGUGACUAAGGUGGAAGAAGUGAAUGUUAUUGCUGCGUCAGGUAUUGAAAAAUUGAUUAGAAUGGAUGUGCUCAAGCCAGAAGAUGGCACUUAUUCUCACGGACUGCAGAAUGAUCUCCAGAGUAGCAUAUUGGAUGAAAUUUUAGGUUUAGCAGCAGAAUACUGGCAGGAGCAACAUUAUUAUUACGUCCAGUGCAGUGAAGCACCUGGCUGUGGAGAACUCCAGUUUCAGACUGACACGUGGAGCCUGAAAAUAAAGAAACUAGGAAUACAAAGUCCUAAAGACUUUCCUCGUGUACUGAGAAUCUGGUAUGAAACAAAGCCAGAGGGUGGUUCGGUCAAAUGGACUAAGGACCAGAGUGGCAGACCAUGUGUAUAUACAGCAGGAUCUCCUAUAAACAACAGAGCACUAUUUCCAUGUCAGGAGCCUCCAGUAGCUAUGGCAACUUGGCAAGCCUCAAUUUGGGCCUCAAAAGAUGCUGUGGUUCUAAUGAGUGGCGAAAAUUGUGCUGAACCCCAGCAGGAUGGAGCUCUCUCAAAAUGGUUUUAUUACGUGACUAUGCUUAUGCCAGCAUCUACUUUCACCCUUGCUGUUGGAUACUGGCUUGAAGUUAAACGUGAAGGCACCUUUGAAUCCCACUUGCAAAGUCCAUUAUCCUCAUCUUCAAGAUUUAUAAAUGAAAACUGCAGUGUUUCCAUGACAACCUGUGGUCAUCCAGCCUAUCCAUGCCGUUUCCAAGAUCCUGUUGCCCAAGUCCAAGAUUGUAUUCCUCACCGAGUCUUUGCUCCAGAUUGUCUGAAAUUAAGAAGCCAGGAGUUUCUGCUUCCUCUGUUAGCUCGAUGCCUUUCUGCAGCCUGCUGUAUUCUGGGCACUCAUCCUUUCUGCAGGGUUGAUGUGUUGAUUGUUCCUGCUAGUUUUUCUAGCCUGGGAAUGGCUAGCCCACACAUCAUUUUCCUAUCGCAGUCUGUUUUAUCUGGAGGAAACCAUCUCUGUGGAGUUCGGCUGUGCCAUGAAAUAGCUCAUGCCUGGUUUGGAUUGGCUAUUGGUGCUCGUGAUUGGACGGAAGAGUGGAUAAGUGAAGGCUUUGCUACUUAUUUGGAGGAUGUGUUUUGGGCAAAUGCACAAAAGCUGUCACAGGAAGAAAUGAAAGAGCAACAGCAGCUAAGGUCCUUGCUGCGAUGGAGAAGGCUCAGAGAAGAAAUUCAGAACUCUGAAGAAGAGUUGCAAGUGUUAAGGCCUAACAAGGAGAACACGGGUGAAGUGAGCAACUCUGGUGCAUCAAUCAUCAAACAUGGUCGAAAUCCAGGAAAAGUCUUUAUGCAAGUUCAUUACUUAAAGGGUUAUUUUCUGCUUCAUUACCUUGAGAACCAAGUGGGACAAAAGGCAUUUCUUAAUUUUUUGGGGCUAUUUGUGGAGAAGUUUCAUGGGCAACUAAUUCUUUCUCAGGAUUUUCUGCACAUGUUUAUGGAGAAUUUUUCACAACUUGGAAGUCAGGGGCUGUCUGCAGAUAUUAUCUAUCAAGUCUGGCUGGAUGUAGCAGGAUUGCCAAAGCCUCUUACGGAUGACGCUCUGAAGUGGACGGAAAACCGACUAGUCUGUGAAGUGCAGAAUGAGGUCACAAAAUGGGCCGGAAUCAAUCAAAAGGUCAGAAAAGGCUCCCGUAAAAGGAAGCGCAGCCGCAAGGACGAGGUGACUUUCAGAGAGCUUUUGCCAGACCAACUGGUUUUGCUCCUGGAAUUUCUGUUGGAGAUGAAGUCCCUGUCUUCCCAAACACUGCAGAGGUUACAGAAGCAAUAUUGCCUAAGGGAGCAGGAUGCAGAGGUGCGCCAUCGUUGGUGUGAGCUGAUUAUUAAGCAUAAGCUCAAAGUGGCAUACAGGGAUUUGAUUGAUUUUCUGAAACAGGAUCAGGCAAUGGGAGUCUACCUCUAUGGUGAGUUGAUGGUUAAUGAAGAUGCCAGACAGCAGCAACUAGCUCGCAGGUGCUUCACCACACUUAAAGAAGAGAUGGAUCCAUCCUUGCAGAAAGUGGUGGCAGAAAUGCUAUUCUAGCCAAGUAAGAGCCAAAGAGGAAAGGGAGAAAAGCAUUAAAAUUCAGCUAUGAACUUGGAUAUACCUUUUGGGCAAGUUAACAAGUACCCAGAUGUAGCAGCAGGUCCAUGCAGAAUUGAUAAAUGAUGUUGGCCCAGGACACUUAGCACUGCAAACUUAUCUAGAAGGCAGCUACCACUGUGAGAACCACUUCUAUUGCAAGCCUUUGCAACUGUCAGUGUGAGAAGAUUUUCCAUUAUUUUCCCUCUCAUUGCAUGUAUUUGAAGACUUUGUUUUUGGACCAAUAUAUAUUGUAUUUUUAGACCUUUGAAAUUAACUUAAAAUGCAAAUUAUUUUCAUUCAUUAUUUUGAAAUGUCCAGAUAUGCAUUUAAUGUUCCUUAUCAAUUUUAGUGAUACAUUGUGCAGGAUGGACAGUAUUUAAGUAUCACCACAUUAAUUAUAACCCAGGACCAAACCACUGGUGAAAGCGCAAAGCUCAACUAUUUUCAAUUGUUUACUAGUCUUGUAUACCUUAUUGAAUGUAUAAGAUUUUUAAUAUAGCUUACCUAAUUUGUUCACUGUAAUGAAAAUAUUUAAUUCUACAAACUUUACAACAUAGUAUGAUUUACUUUGGAUCCAAAUGAAAUACAUAACGAGUGUCUCCAUUCUAUCUGAUUUGAUAAACAGCUUAAUUUAAACAUUUUGAAAUUACACAUCAGAAUUAAAAUGUGUCCUCUGUUGCAUUCACCAAAUGCAUGAUAUUAGAGCAAUGCAUAUUAUAAUCUGCUUUUCAGAUUUGGCUCCUUUGACUUCAGCCUUUUUUCUUGAGGGCAUAAAGGAAUUGUCGGACAAGCAAUGUGGUGGUCAGCGACUAAAUUACUGCAAUAUAAUACUACAAAUUAGGACAUGCAGAGGGUCCCCCAAGGAGGGGAGGCUCUCAUUUUGUUUACAGUAACAAAAUUUCCACACUCACAAUAGUCUCACCAUUUUUCUUUCUGAUAUUUAAACUUGCUGUUCAAUAUAUUGCCUUAGAAUGCUAAAGAAUUCUAAGGUUAACUGUUUCUGUGACAACUAAGUUAUUACAGCAGAGAAUGGGGCAAACAGACAAGGGGGAAAUGGUUAGCAGAAGAGGCAAGUAUUUUUAAUUUUAUUUGUGUGCAUAUUUUAGAUGUAAAGGUUUAAUAUUGUGAUAUAAAACCAUUCCUGAUACCAAUACCUGUGUAUUUCAACAUUAUUGUGUUUGAGAUGUCGAGAGUAGCUUUAAUUCCCGAAGUUCUGGCAUCAUGUUACUACAUGCUUACAUGCCAUUCAUAUAUACCAUAGUGUUGGUAUGUAGUAGUUUGCUUCAGGCAAAUAUUAAAGCUGUGUAUGGGAAUCAGGGCCUGACAUGCUUCUGAAGCAGUGGUGGUCUACUUUACUCCAAUGCUAGAUUGCAUCUGCAUUCCAGAUUUACAGUGCAGUUUCCUCUUUGAAGUAAUGCCACAUUUUAGAGGAUAAAUGUUGCUUGUGUUUUGUUAUACAGUUAUUGCCAUUUUGAAUUACUGUGACUUUAUAACAUUUUGAUAUAAAAACAAAAGAGCAGUGAGAAGGGCAAUAUGUUGAAGCAGCAAGUCAAAAACAAAAGUGGUUUUAUUAUUCCUUAGGCUUGAGGUCAUGGGAGAGUGAAUUGUUUGCUUCAAUCUGUCAUGGCUAUGUGGCUUUAAUUUACUCAGUAUUGAUGGACCCAUAAUUAACAGUCAGCCAAAUUAUACAUGUCAUUGAGUACAUGUUAUUGAGAAGUAUUGACACUAUGAUGUCCUCAAUGUCUGAAACUGCACCAUCAGCCCAAGCUGAAGCCAGCUUUGCACAUUUACUUGGAACUCCGGGGACUCGGUAACUAUGGGAUCAUGGAUGAAUAGCAAGAUUGAGCAAAAUCUGCACCAGUACUGCUGUCAAACUAACUAAUCUACGUACAGUAAAACUCCAACAACCUGCUCUCCGUCAAUUUGGAAAUCCCAGUGGUUUGGCAUCUGACUCACCAGGUGAUGUUUCCUGUGCUCCCUUUCCGUUCACUGUGACCUCUGCUCCCACCUUCCCUCACCACCCACCAGAACCCCAGCUCCCACAGUCCUCUCCCACUCACCAGGACUUUGGUUCCCAUGUUUUCUUUCUUUUCACUGAAGAAUGAUAGCCUGGUUGCCACAGUCUAAUUAAACUUAACUGGUUAGUUCAUUCUAAUAAUGUGCAACAUCAAAAUAAAAGUGAACUAAAUGUGUGUUGGGGCAUUAAAAUGAUCAACAUGCAAUGGUUUGGAAAAUCUGCCAGUCCGGCACCAUCAAAGUCCAAGGUGUGCUGAAUUAUGUGGGGCUUUACUGAAUCUUUCCCACCUUGUUAUUUUUAUGUGGAAAUUGUACGUCACUGACACUAACAAAGCAUAGCAAUGUCUAAAAUGUCACAUAAUAGGAGAUGCAGGUUUGAUCUUCCCACUGUGCUAAGUUUCUAAUUCCAGUUGUGCAGUGAGCAAGAAAGUCUGGAAAUGAGUUGUUGCAUGGCUGCUCUUGCACAUCUUCUAGUGAUGGGGGCCACAGUUGCAGAGGCCUUGGAAUGAGGUGAAUCAGCUGAUUUUGUUUUCCACUGUUGAUAUGUGAACUCUGAUCCCGUAAAGUAAUAGAAAUAAAACUUCAGAGUAGAGGUUGUGGUCUAAGCAACCAGUAAUCUGAUAGACUGUUGUAAAUGUUCUUCAUCAUUCAUUUGUCACACUCGUUGGGUUUCAAACGUUAGCACACAGGUAAUGUUUUAAAAUGCAUUAUAAAUAUAGUUGGAUGUGCCCAUUGAUGUUACUGGCAAUAAGUUGUAUAAUUGACAGGUACACAAUGCUAUCUAAAAUAUAUUCCAGUUAUGUUGGUGCGGUAUUUAAAUAUGACUGAUAAUAUCAAGCCAAAAGCACCAAUUGCUCUGUUCAAGUGAGACCUGAGGCCACUCUGAAUUUAACUGAUGUAAUGUAGGGAGUUUUCUCAGUUUGACUUUUUUUAAAUUAAUUCAAGGGAUGUUGGCAUUGCUGGCAAAGUCAUUCCCUAAUUGCCAUUCAGAUGGUGGUGAGCCAAACUCUUCAAUGGUCACUGUGCUGUUGACUAGGAAACUGCACUAUAUGGACCCACUGAUAAUCAUGGAAUAGCAAAAUAUUUCCAAGUCAUGAUAUUGUGCGAUUUGAAGAGGACCCUGUGUGUGGUGUCAUUUUGUUCAGUUAUUAAUGAGGUUGGGAAAUUUGUUCACUCAAAAGGUUGUGAUCUUAUUGAAUGGUGAUGCAGAGUUGAAAGCCAAAUGGCCUACUUCCACUAAUGUUCUUGCGAUACACAUUCAAGAUGCCUGGCAAAAGAACUAGAAAGGAAUUGGUAUUGAAUCUACUUCUGUCAGGCUUUAAGGGAGUGAACACCAGAUCAGAUCAACCAACUGCUUUUCUUAAACUAAUUCUCUUUAUUUUCCCCUGGUUUUCCUCUGCUAAAUUAGAUUAAAUCUGUAUCUGGCAUGUCUAAAGGAAAUGGUGCCUAUUUUCUCCAUAUAAUUGAAGUCUAUCAUCCCUGGUGUCUUUCUUGCUGCUCCCUGUCUUUCUCCAAGGUCAUAAUAUCCUUACUAAAAUGUGCUAUCCAUGAUUUUAAACAAUAUCCAUCUUAAGCCUGAUGUAUGAUUAGUAAAGUUUUAGCAUUUUUCCUAUUGUUCUCCUAUGUCUUGCUUUAUAAAAUUAAGACCCGUGACUCAGAAUCAGAGUGAGGUUUAUUAUUACUGACAUGUUGUGAAAUUUGUUGUUUUGCGGCGGCAGUGCAGUGCAAGACAUAAAAAUUAGUAUAAGUUACAAGAAUGAAUAAAUUGUCCAAAAGAGGAAUAACGAGCUGGUGUUCAUGGACCGUUCAGAAAUCUGAUAGUGGAGGGGAAGAAGCUGUUCCUGAAACAUUGUCUGGUAGUAUGGUGUAUUUGUUCAAAUACUCUUCUGAACUUGUCAUUUCAUCUUUUGUCUUGUGAAGUUUGCUUUUCUGUCUAAUGAUAUGUAACUCCGUUUUGCUUUCCUUUGCACUGAAUGUCACCGGUUUCCUGGCACAAAUUAAAAUGUUUUACCUCAAGAUUAUGAUUUCAUUUAAAUUGAAGUCUAGUAUUCAAAACUUCUUGUUGCCAUAACAGUUGAGAUUCUUAAAUCAGAUUAUUAUCAGGAAGCUCACAAUGUAUUGACAGCAUAUUUAUUUAAAAUGAAUUCUCCUGGUAAAGAAUUGUUUUUAAUUCUACAUUUUUUGGAAGCUAUUUAUUAAAUUUUUGUGGUAAUUAAGUCAUACUUUUGCAUUGUUACAUUUUCUUUGAUAUUAAAUGGUACAAUUUAGACAAUAAUAUGAAACUUUAUAACAUGAAACUUUUUGGAAAGCUGUUCCUUGGAUUGCAGUAAAAUCAAGUUCAAACAUUAUCUUAAAAUGCCCUUUUAAGAUGAUGACUUUUGCAUGGAUUGCUAAUACUCCAAUUUGGACGAAAUCAUAUUUAGUAAUUCAUUUGUUUCAUUGUCUGAUGUAGUUGGCUGUUGGUAUCCACUGCUGACUCUGACUUCAAAUUAUAUAUAUAUAUGGAAGUGAAUUAUCUGAUUAUUUUUUGGGUAAUAUGUUUUUGGAGCAGAAAAUGUGAGAGUUGUAAUUCUACUUAUUUUGAAAACGUUUGUACUUCAAAUUUCUGCCUUGUAUUUUAAUAUUAAAUUUAAGACUUAUUUUCUCUUUGAGUUAAAUAGUAAUUUUAAUAAUAAAUGUACUUAUUCAUGCAUUAUUUUUAUCUAUGAUGCUAUCUUCAGCUGAAUGUUAUUAACUUGAAGUAUUUUGUUUAUAUAUAUCUCUUCCCUGAUUUAAAUACAAUUGAAUUGCAGAUUCAUUUCCUAUGUAUCAUUUCCUAUCCCAUGAUGGCUAAAUAUAAUUUAGUUUUGAUGAAAAUGAACAAGUAAUGAU